ensembl:lncRNA PARD6G-AS1 PARD6G antisense RNA 1
UCACUGUGGCUGCUCCUGUGCUUCAGCGGGACUAGAAGCUGCCGCCCACGGGCAGCGGGGAAGAAAUCUGGGCAAAGCCAUGAGCCCUCCGAGGCUGAGCUCCAGUUUAGGGGCUCACCUGCCUUGCAUCGUUCCGAGUCCUGUACUGGACUGCAUCAGGCCGCGUCUCCUCAGGAAAUGGGAUCUUGGUUCCUGGCCAGCACCCGGCCUCUCUGCACCUCAUAGACACUGCAAAUCCUUACUCAGUGACUUCAGGGAUACAGGUGGUACCUCUAAAUCCAAAAACUCCAAAUGUCCACCAGCUCCAGUCACAUUGGAGAUACAGCUGUGGUUUGCUCCUAAGACCCACCCAGCACACGUGAGAUGGGGAGACCUGGAUUGCAUCCCCAUGUCUGUCCCAGUGGAGAUAUCAUUGGAAAAGCUGCAGUGAUCUCUAUAAAAAUCUCAACCACCCGCUCCCAGUAGGUUCAGUGCUGCACUCUAAGAGGAGAACAGGUCUGACUCCUCAAGGAGAUGCCUCUGGUCCAGGCUUUGUAAACUUGGGCCUUCCAGCCAGAUUCCUCCGAGCUCAGUGUCCGCUGCUGCUGGGCUGAGGGGAACCCCACUCCUUCACCACCGACUCCUGCUCCUGGCUGCACCUGCCCUUCCAACAGUGUCUCCUCUCAAGAAAGGGAGAAUCCUCCAGCCUUCUGUGCCUGCAUGCUGAGAACCCAUAGAGAGGAGCAUCCCUGGAGAAUCCCAGCUUGCAGCCAUCUUCCCUCAAGCGCAUUUCCAGUGUCCAGCCUGGCUUUCUGAUCAUUUUUGCUUUAGGAAGGCCUCCGACCAUGGCACUUUGGUAAAACCAUGUCCCAGCCCCCAGUCUCCCUAGCAACGCCGACUCUCACCCCAGAUGGUUCCUGCCAGGAUGGGAGGGUGGAGCUCACAGAGUUUGAAGGAGUGCCACCUUCACAUGGCACAAGUGUCUUUACAGAACACAUGAGGCAGAAAACAGACGUCCACGAAUCUGGGCAGAUGGACACAUGCCGACAGCAUGGCAAGGUCCCCUCCUUUGCCCUGCCCCAUCACUUCCUCCCAUGUGUAGGAGCAGGUCCACCCAAAACAGUGUGAAGGUGUCAAGCCAGUAGCUCCUCUUCUGGGGAGGGAGUGAGGAAGGAAGAGCAGGAGACAGGCAGAAGAACUCACUGGGCGGGUGGCGACCUGCAGGGAGACAGAGAAGGACACGCCAGAGCCCAGGGAGAGCACUAACCACCACUGACAGUUUCCCAUUUCAUAUAUUUUUUCCGAGGCCACGAAGAGGAGGAGCCUGUCACAAAGCGCCAGUGGGAACUCACUGCCCCCGACACCUCCCGACGCAUCAGCUGGUGAGCACCAGAAGCCGGCCCAGUGCCCACAGCCAAGCCCACGUGGUGUGGCCCACAGCACCUUCACAGGAAGGGCCUGAGGGUUGGCUGCAGUCAUUUUUUUUUUUUUUUUCAAACUGGAGGGGAACGUUUUUCCUUGGUAAACCCCCGGCGCUGAAGUCACUCAGGUGAGCCUCGGUGAAGAAGCCUCAGACGCUCAGCAAGGCCCAGGGAGGAUGAGCUCAUCUCUGGAGGCCAAGCUCACAUGCCCUAGACUGCAGCAACAUGCCCUCCCGCCCACGCCCGCUCCCUUGCCAGGGUGUGUCCUGCCCUCAGCGGGCCACUGGCCCCCAAAUCCACCACAGAAGGCCAACAGGACAGGGGAGUCCCAGUGACAUGCCACUGCCUCCCCCCACCCAGGAGGCUUGCUUUAGGGUCCCCUGCUGCCCUGGGCCCACGUUAAAUCAGCUGUUCCAUGCAAAGACUUGCAGAGCCAAGAGGAGAGGUGCAGGCGAGUUGUUAGGAGCAUGAGUUUCACAACGGUGUGGUCUCACUGCUGCCCCUGGCCACUGCCUGUGCCUUCCGGGCAGCGACUGCACCUCCUCCUCAGUUAACAAGCACAGUGGCGGAUGCCCAUGCCAUGGGUUCCGUGCACGGCGGUCACCAUCACCACACGGAGUCCAAGAGCAAGAACUCUGCCAAGACACUGUUAUUAUCAAAAGCAAAUGGUUUG